GACGAACGCUGGCGGCGUGCCUAAUACAUGCAAGUCGAACGAGCGGCGGACGGGUGAGUAAUGUCUGGGAAACUGCCCGAUGGAGGGGGACAACUACUGGAAACGGUAGCUAAUACCGCAUAACAUCAGAUGUGCCUAGAUGGGAUUAGCUAGUAGGUGGGGUAAUGGCUCACCUAGGCGACGAUCCCUAGCUGGUCUGAGAGGAUGAACAGCCACACUGUGACGGAGACACGGUCCAGACUCCUACGUGAGGCAGCAGUGGGGAAUAUUGCACAAUGGGCGCAAGCCUGAUGCAGCCAUGCCGCGUGUGUGAAGAGGGCCUUCGGGUUGUAAAGCACUUUCAGCGAGGAGGCGUUACUCGCAGAAGAAGCACCGGCUAACUCCGUGCCAGCAGCCGCGGUAAUUC
rnacentral:rRNA from 1 species